UAUUUUUUUUUAUUUAGAGGUUACCAGAAGCUCUGGGUUUUUUGUUUUGUUUUUGUUUUUUAAUCAUUUUCAGAUGUUAUCCAGAAAUCUGCAAGUAUACUUUUCCUGUUUUAACUCCUUCCUUUUAUCACCUGACUAUCAGGGAAGCGAGGUUGAGGCUGCCCUGACCUGACAUGUCAUGAUGUCGACUUGCUAGGUGGGGUUCGCUGGGGACGAUAACCAGUGGAAUUGUUGCAUAUAUUGGAGUAUUCAGACUUGAAGAAGGAUAUAGAUUUCGUGACUGAUGCUGAAUGGAAGCCAACCAUUGCAGAAAUUUUGGGGAAAAUGAAUAAGAAGAAUGCAAGGGCAAGUAGGAAUUCAUUUCUAGCAUUCCUAAACCUGCUUUGUCGUGUCAACUCCACUACAGUCAGAGGAAAAGAACUGAGUUCAUGGAAAUUACCAGCUAAGCCUUCCAUCUGUCUUUAAUGUUUUUAGGAAAUUUCAGGUAAGUGAGAUGUCUUUUUUGAAGAAAGACUAUUAUGUAUAUUAAAACGAAUUGUUCCAUAUUAGUAAUGAUGGGAAGCUUGUUUAUUCUGCACUUCAGAAAGUCUUGCCCCCAUUAGGUGUGGUUUUCAAUAUUGUGGAGUCCCAACCAACAUGGAGCUUUUCCUCUAUUCAGAAGUACUCAGAACCUUCAUUGCAGUGUAUGAAGUGCCAAUUUUUGUUGGUUGGUGCUCAACUCCUUUGUUAAAAAAUACUUCAGUUGAGUUUUAAUUUUGUCCCUCAUUAUAUCCAUAGAAAAACUUUUAAAAAGCUUCAAAGUUUCUGCCAGGUUACAUUUGCAUUCUACACAGUCAAGUAAGAGUAAAAUUGUGAGAUAUAUAGGUCUUAAUAUCACCUUGAUUGGGUUGAUAGGUAAUUUUUAAGUUAUAGGAUUAAGUUUUAUGUUUAUUACAUACUAAUGUAAUAAAUACUGUGCCAGACCCUGGAACACAAAGAUGGACUAGCAUACAAUACAGAUGAGAUUCUAGGUGUGGGAAUGAAAAUGGAAUAAAACGAGGCUAUUUCAUUUCUCCAUCACAAAUGGAGAAUUGGCAUAUUAAUCUGAACAUGACAUUCUAUUUCAAAGAUCUCUGCGCAUGUGUACUUGUGUGUGAGAGACAAUUACAAAACACUUCCUAUGUGGCAGCUACUGUUGUAAGCUCUUUUACACACAUUUUUAAAAAAUCCUUAUAACUGUUCUAUAAGUGCUAGCCCAUUUUUUUAACGUCAUUGAGGCAGAGAAGCUAUCUUGCCUAGAUUUGUGCAACCAGGUCUAGGACCAGUAUUUGAACCAAGACAAGCUGAUUGCAGAGCCUGCACUCUUAAUUUGGAUACUUAUACGUAGUACCUGGCUGAGUACCCAUAAAACAUCCCAAAUUCUCAAUAAAAUUUGCCUACUUUUUAAAAAGGAAAGUUUAAAUAGCACAGAAAGAUUAAAGGUGUAAUAAUAAAUUUUUUAGAGAAUCAAAAAUUCCCUUUCUCACACUGGCUCUAAGCCAGUCAUUUUGUGUCAUGACUUCCCCUCCCACAUUCCACACUCCUAACCCCCAGCAGAGUACAUGCACAGAAAAAUUAAAAAACCAGAGCGGAAGCAGAGCUUAUUGGUUAUAUUUUAUACUCAGAACCUAUUGUGCCUUUGGUUCACCCCUCUUUCUUUUUGGAAUGUGUACAUUUUCUUUAUCUUCUAAAUGAUGAGAAAAUAUGACUGCUGAAAGUUUUUCUAGGAUUCUUUAAAAAAAUAGGUAAGACUACAGAAGUAAAAAAAAAACCUGCUCUGAGAACCUCAGGUAGGUAAUUUGAUUUCUGUUGUAUGUGUAGUUUAAGGCUCCUGCCACCCCAUCCUGUUAUGUACUGUAAACCCAUUUGGCCUUUAAUAAACUGUUUUAUGAAUUGA